rnacentral:rRNA from 1 species
GUAGGUGGCAAGCGUUGUCCGGAAUUAUUGGGCGUAAAGCGCGCGCAGGCGGUCCUUUAAGUCUGAUGUGAAAGCCCACGGGCUCAACCGUGGAGGGUCAUUGGAAACUGGGGGACUUGAGUACAGAAGAGGAAUGCGGAAUUCCAAGUGUAGCGGUGAAAUGCGUAGAGAUUUGGAGGAACACCAGUGGCGAAGGCGGCUUUCUGGUCUGUAACUGACGCUGAGGCGCGAAAGCGUGGGGAGCAAACAGGAUUAGAUACCCUGGUAGUCCACGCCGUAAACGAUGAGUGCUAAGUGUUAGGGGGUUUCCGCCCCUUAGUGCUGCAGCUAACGCAUUAAGCACUCCGCCUGGGGAGUACGGCCGCAAAGGCUG